rnacentral:lncRNA from 1 species
CUUUUGGAAUUGUUAGAUACCCACUUCCUGUUUGUGGAUAUCAGGACUUAAAAAAUGUCAUAUAUUUCUUGAUACUUCUGAAUAGAAUACAUUCAUAUUUGGUCAACAGCUCACCAAUGAUGAGUUGUAAUGACUAAUGUAAGUGUGCUUUUUAUAACACUCUUAAUCUUCUUCCUGUUUUCUAAUACCUUAAAUGAUGAGUGAGGGUAUGCUAAGCACCACAACAUGUGUGUUCUUGUUGAGUUCUUGGAUUACUGAAAUUAAGAGCCGAG